AGCGGAGGAAAUACCUGUGAAAGAAUGCACAGAAGAGACUGAAACUGAUUGCGGGCAAUGGAAUCUCCGGCAAAUGUCAUGGAACGGUUACGCAUGGCGAUCAAGAAGGCUUGCGCGUCAAUUCUAGGUAAGUCGCACUGCUGUGGUUGCCACUUCCAAUACAUAAACCCUGUGUCUGGCCGUCCAUUCUUCAUGCAAUUCUGGUGCCCUUGAAUAUACCUGCACGAGGAGUUGGUAUACUGAGGUGGACGCGGGUCUGGCACCCAACUGCCUUUCACCAAAUCACAGUAUUCUGGAGUCCAUACAGAACGAAUAUUUGAUCAUGCUACAUCGUUUCGUGAGGGUAGACUAACAUACGGAAGGAUGAAUUCGGUCAAAGGUCAAUCACAUAAAACCAAAGAGAAAUUCCUUUGCAACAGAUGAAUGACACAAAACAAUCACCUCUUUUGCUAGAGUUUGCGGUAUUGGUGGGACCUUGUCUCUUCAUGACUAUGCUAGAGGUAUUUUCCUCCAGAGUGGUCUCCUCAUGUGGUUUAGAGUCAUUUACACCCAGAGAUGUGGAAUUCUCCACGUCUACUGAUGUUUCAAUCGUGCGUUCUACAUCCUCAUCAGUUGCCUCUGGUUCGGGUGAAUUCCUACUACUUUCUUCUUGGUUUGUGUCUGUAGUGAUCUCAGUGUCCCCGUUACUCGGCUCUACACCAGUGUUACUUGAGCUUGUAGCACUGAUGAAUGAAGGGACGUUCUUGCCUCCCUGUAGACAAUCCCAUAAUCAUUACAUCUUGUCGAACAGGACCUGCAUUUCAGCAACUUGAAAUCAAGUGUGUAAAUUACCCUACUGGGAACAAGAACAUGCCUUGGGUUUAUGAAAGAAAAGCAUAGCUGCUGUUG
rnacentral:lncRNA from 1 species